ACAGAGGUCUCGAGCGUUAGGCGGAAUCACUGGGCUUAAAGCGUGUGUAGGCGGAUCGUUAAGUGCCUUGUGAAAUCCCCCGGCUUAACCGGGGAACUGCAGUGGAUACUACUUGACUUGAGUGCAGGAGGGGAGAGUGGAAUUCCAGGUGGAGCGGUGAAAUGCGUAGAUAUCUGGAGGAACGCCGGCGGCGAAAGCGACUCUCUGGCCUGUAACUGACGCUGAGGUGCGAAAGCUAGGGGAGCAAACGGGA
rnacentral:rRNA from 1 species